CUGACGCAGCAACGCCGCGUGGGUGAUGAAGGUCUUCGGAUUGUAAAGCCCUGUUUUCUGGGACGAUAAUGACGGUACCAGAGGAGGAAGCCACGGCUAACUACGUGCCAGCAGCCGCGGUAAUACGUAGGUGGCGAGCGUUGUCCGGAUUUACUGGGCGUAAAGGGUGCGUAGGCGGAUGUUUAAGUGGGAUGUGAAAUCCCCGG
rnacentral:rRNA from 1 species